UACGUAGGGAGCAAGCGUUGUCCGGAUUUACUGGGCGUAAAGAGCGCGCAGGCGGUCGUUCAAGUCGAGUGUGAAAGCCCCCGGCUCAACUGGGGAGGGUCAUUCGAUACUGAUCGACUCGAAGGCAGGAGAGGGUAGUGGAAUUCCCGGUGUAGUGGUGAAAUGCGUAGAUAUCGGGAGGAACACCAGUGGCGAAGGCGACUACCUGGCCUGUUCUUGACGCUGAGGCGCGAAAGCUAGGGGAGCAACGGGG
rnacentral:rRNA from 1 species